rnacentral:sRNA from 1 species
GCUGGACAUGGUGCGCCUGUCUGUAAUCCCAGUGACUCAGGAGGCUGAGGCAGGAGGAUCGCAAGUUUGAGGUCAGCCUUAGCAACUUAGGCUCUAAGCAACUUAGCAAGACCCCAUCUCAA